UAUCGCAAUGAUCUCUUAAAAAGUUUUGUCCACACUGAUUUGAAUGAAUUUUUCUGGAGCUGAUGGAGGCUCCAGAGUAUCAAACUGGGAUUGCAAUAACUCAAGGGGCAUAAAAUGUCCUUUUCUUUUGAAUAAGCGUUCAGAGAUGACCUCAAAUAACCUGCUCAGAUGGACCACAAGGAACUUCACCUCAGCCAGCUUCCCUUCCUUCCCCGGUUCAUCAGGCUUCACAAGUGCACCAUCUUUUCUCUGGAUUAAGAUGUCUCUAUACACUUUCUUCAGAGCUGAACAGGCUAAAAUCACAUGCUAUCCUGAGGCUACAUCUCUCAGUAACAUUUCAUGCAAGUUGCACAGCCAAGAAAUCCUGUCCUGGCCAUUCAGUGGAAUCCCUUUUCCCAUCUUUAUUCGAUUUUCUUCGGGGUGAUAGUCAUCCGCAUCAUAGAAUUUCCAUCCUAGUUUCCUGAGCCAUUCAUGCCCAUGACCAGUAGCACUGCA